rnacentral:tRNA from 2 species
GGGGCCUUAGCUCAGCUGGGAGAGCGCCUGCCUUGCACGCAGGAGGUCAGCGGUUCGAUCCCCGCUAGGCUCCACCA